GCCUCCAAAAAAUCUCUGUUGCUGAAACUGCCAGCAUCAUAUUCCGGAUCUGAAAAGUAAGCCUCCGGGCACCGGCACUGAAUACCAUACCUCCGGCAGAACGGAAGCCACGACCUCGCAAACACCCACGCCUCCUGAACCGCGAAAUAAGUCAAGGGAGAAGCCCCGUCGUCGGAGAGAUACACCGAUAGCUUGUCCGGCGGGUAAUCGAGCGCCAUGGCUGACAGAACAGUGUUCAUGACCCCCAGCGGCGGCUCCUUCCUCGGAUCCGCAGUGACCACGAAAACGUCGAUGGCCGGCAGCUUUUCGUCAGCCGGUAAUCUCUCAGGGAAGACGACCCGGGAAAUGGGAAGCCAUAGAAAAGCUUGGUUGAGGAGCCAGAGGAUGGAGAGAAGCAGCUCAGAAGCAAAGAUCAAAAGCUCCGAAACAGGUGCUCUGUUUUGAGAGGUUGAUCUGUUUGUGGCAGAGGAGAGCAGAGAAGAUGCUCUGUAAUAUAUGAAGGAGGCUAAGGCUAUGGAGUGAAUAAGGGCGUGUAAUCUGUUGGCUAUGGCUGCCGAUCUGAUGGGCUUGGAGAGAUUUAAAGGGAGAGAAUCCAUUGCAGCAGACUGCAGAGCACGACUGGAUGUGCCACUCCUACCCACCUUUUAAGGAAGCAGACUGUCCAUGUGAAGACCUGCAUGAAGUAAAUGUGGAGCAAGCCGCCCAUGCCCAUGCCAUCCCCUGCAUACCCAUGUGAAGACCUGCACGCUACCAAUACCAUGUGAUUUCCUGUUGCGCAUCCCAUAUGAAGACCUACAACCCAUGACAAAUACAACAAGUCAUACGUGAAGCCAUACCACCCAUGUGAAUGUUGUCAGUCGUCUAGCUGCCUCACAGCGCACAUCCGUAUUUUGUUCAUCUAGCAUUAUACCUAAAUGCCUUUAAAAGGGCAUGUUUGCGGUUCAAGGAUAUAACCCCGAAGCAGCUCCAAUUUUUUGUAGUUUCUUCUAUUAUAAUUAGAGAGAUUUGUAUACUCCUAAUUCAAGAAAAAUGUAUCAUUGUUCUCUUCUUAUAAUUAGAAAGAAGUUGUAUUAUCCCUUAUUUAUAGUGGAUUCCUUUUAGCC